UACGUAGGGGGCGAGCGUUGUCCGGAUUUAUUGGGCGUAAAGAGCGUGUAGGCGGCCAGGUAGGUCUGCUGUGAAAACUCGAGGCUCAACCUCGAGACGUCGGCGGAAACCAUCUGGCUAGAGUCCGGAAGAGGAGAGUGGAAUUCCUGGUGUAGCGGUGAAAUGCGCAGAUAUCAGGAGGAACACCGGUGGCGAAGGCGGGUCUCUGGGCCGAUACUGACGCUGAGGAGCGAAAGCGUGGGGAGCGAACAGG
rnacentral:rRNA from 1 species